rnacentral:rRNA from 1 species
GUCUCUGUUAAUACCAGGGGCUGAUGACGGUACCGUAAGAAUAAGCACCGGCUAACUACGUGCCAGCAGCCGCGGUAAUACGUAGGGUGCGAGCGUUAAUCGGAAUUACUGGGCGUAAAGCGUGCGCAGGCGGUCUUGUAAGACAGAUGUGAAAUCCCCGGGCUCAACCUGGGAACUGCAUUUGUGACUGCAAGGCUAGAGUGCGGCAGAGGGGGAUGGAAUUCCGCGUGUAGCAGUGAAAUGCGUAGAUAUGCGGAGGAACACCGAUGGCGAAGGCAAUCCCCUGGGCCUGCACUGACGCUCAUGCACG